CUUGGAGCUCGUGGGAGAAGCCGAGCGGAAAACAAGCCUGCAUGCAUUUGUGCAUGGCGUCGCCAUCAGAUAGGAUCAUGAGGGAGUUGGCACACUUGAAACCGGCGACCUCACAGCAAACAUCGGAUGUUUACAAACCGGACU